CAAGGGCACGCGGGGGGAUGCCUUGGCGCUUAUGGCCGAAGAAGGGCGUGGCAAGCUGCGAAAAGCCGCGGGGAGGAGCAAGCAUCCCGAGAACCGCGGAUACCCGAAUGGGGCAACCCGCCUCGUAGAAGACGAGGCGCUCGCAAGAGGCGGCAAACCCGGUGAAGUGAAACAUCUCAGUAACCGGAGGAGAAGAAAUCGAAGAGAUGCCCGAGUAGUGGUGAGCGAAACGGGCCAGAGCCUAAACCGAGUACGUGCCAAGCCUGCGGGCGUUGCGUAGUCGGGGUCGAGGGACCGAAUGCGAAGAUGCCGCAGCGUCUUCCCGAAGUGAGCAAGUUCGUUUCUAGCCGAAAGGUGUUGGGAAAGCCUGCCGCAGAGAGUGAAAGCCUCGUAGGCGAAAGGAACGGACCUUCGGAAGUCGGAUCCCGAGUAGGGCGGAGCACGUGAAAUUCCGUCUGAAUCAGGGGGGCCCAUCCUCCAAGGCUAAAUACCAUAAGCGACCGAUAGUGGAGCAGUACCGAGAGGGAAAGGUGAAAAGCACCCCUGGCGGGGAGUGAAAGAGACCUGAAACCGCGUGCCUACAAGCAAUCGGAGCGGCGCAAGCCGUGACGGUGUGCCUCUUGGAAAAUGAGCCGGCGAGUUUUUUUUCGUGGCGAGGUUAAGGACUAGGAGGUCCGGAGCCGCAGGGAAACCGAGUCCGAAGAGGGCGUAGAGUCGCGAGGAAAAGACCCGAAGCCCGACGAUCUAUCCAUGGCCAGGUUGAAGAUCGGGUAAAACCGAUUGGAGGACCGAACCGGUGCCUGUUGAAAAAGUCUCGGAUGAGCUGUGGAUAGGAGUGAAAAGCUAAUCGAGUCGGGUGAUAGCUGGUUCUCCCCGAAAUGCAUUGAGGUGCAGCCUCAUGGGCAGAAGGUCACGGGGGUAGAGCACCGGAUGGGUGCGGGGGUCGCAGGACCUACCAAAUCCAACUGAACUCCGAAUACCGUAGACCGGAUCCAUGGGAGUGAGACUGCGGGUGAGAAGGUCCGUAGUCGAGAGGGAAACAACCCAGACCGACAGCUAAGGCCCCGAAUGGCAAGCUAAGUGUGACAAGGAUGUGGUGACGCCCAGACAGCCAGGAGGUUGGCUUAGAAGCAGCCAUCCUUGAAAGAGUGCGUAAUAGCUCACUGGUCGAGCGUUGCCGCGCCGAAAAUGUGGGGGGCUAAGCUUGCAGCCGAAGCUUCGGAUCGAGAUCGGAAGAUCUUGGUAGUAGGGGAGCGUUCCGUAUGGGGAGAAGUCGAGUCGUGAGGCUUGGUGGACCGUACGGAAGCGAGAAUGCCGGCAUGAGUAGCGCGAAACAUGUGAGAAUCAUGUUCACCGGAAGCCCAAGGAUUCCUGGGGAAGGUUGAUCCGCCCAGGGUUAGGCGGGACCUAAGCCGAGGCCGAAAGGCGUAGGCGAUGGCCAGCAGGUAGACAUUCCUGCCCCGUUUGGUGGCCGUUAUUACCGAAGCGGUGACGCAGCAGGCUAGGUGUGCCGGGUGAUGGACGUCCCGGUGCAAAGGCGUAGGGAGGAUUCGUAGGCAAAUCCGCGAGUCCAUAAUCCUGAGACCUGACGCGGAGCUUCCACGGAAGCGAAGACAUUGACGCCCCACUGCCGAGAAAAGCCGCUAGGGAGGACAUCGAGCGCCCGUACUGUAAACCGACGCAGGUGGGCUGGCUGAGCAGGCUAAGGUGAACGGGAAAACCCUCGUUAAGGAACUCUGCAAGUUAACCCCGUAACUUCGGGAGAAGGGGUGCCACCCUGGUGAAGAAAAGACUUUUGGAGCUGAGGGUGGCCGCAGAACCCAGGCCCAGGCGACUGUUUACUAAAAACACAGGUCUCUGCAUAAGCCGUAAGGCGACGUAUAGGGACUGACGCCUGCCCGGUGCUGGAAGGUUAAGGGGAGAGGUCAGCGCAAGCGAAGCUUUGAACCGAAGCCCCAGUAAACGGCGGCCGUAACUAUAACGGUCCUAAGGUAGCGAAAUUCCUUGUCGGGUAAGUUCCGACCUGCACGAAAGGCGUAACGAUCUGGGCGCUGUCUCGACGAGGGACCCGGCGAAAUUGUGGUACUGGUAAAGACGCCAGUUACCCGUGGUGGGACGGAAAGACCCCGUGGAGCUUUACUGUAGCCUGAUAUUGGAUUUCGGUAGAUCAUGCACAGGAUAGGUGGGAGGCAUUGAAGCGAGGACUUCGGUUUUCGUGGAGCCGACGUUGGGAUACCACCCUUGAUGUGCUGGGAUUCUAACGGCGUCGCGUGAAUCCGCGCGCCGGACAGUGUCAGGUGGGCAGUUUGACUGGGGCGGUCGCCUCCCAAAGAGUAACGGAGGCGCGCGAAGGUUACCUCAGGGCGAAUGGAAAUCGCCCGUUGAGCGCAAGGGUAUAAGGUAGCCUGACUGUGAGAGAGACAUCUCGAGCAGGAGCGAAAGCUGGUCCUAGUGAUCCGGCGGUGCUGUGUGGAAAGGCCGUCGCUCAUCGGAUAAAAGCUACCCCGGGGAUAACAGGCUGAUCUCCCCCGAGAGUUCCCAUCGACGGGGAGGUUUGGCACCUCGAUGUCGGCUCGUCGCAUCCUGGGGCUGAAGCAGGUCCCAAGGGUUGGUCUGUUCGCCCAUUAAAGCGGUACGUGAGCUGGGUUUAGAACGUCGUGAGACAGUUCGGUCCCUAUCCACCAUGGGCGUAGGGAAUUUGAGGGGAGCUGCUCCUAGUACGAGAGGACCGGAGUGGACGCACCGCUAGUGUACCGGUUGUGGCGCCAGCUGCAUAAGCCGGGUAGCCAUGUGCGGAAGGGAUAACCGCUGAAGGCAUCUAAGCGGGAAGCCCACCCCAAGAUGAGAUUCCCCACUGGAGAGCCAGGUAAGGCGGCCUGAAGACGACAGGGUAGAUAGGCCGGAGAUGUAAGCGGUGAGAGCCGUUGAGUCGACCGGUACUAAUCCGCCGAGGCCUCUUCC
rnacentral:rRNA from 1 species